CAGGACCAGGCCCACCGACGCCUGCUGAUCGACCCCUGCUGCUCAGUCCACCGAACAAGCUAAUGUCACCCAAGGGUAGUCGUGUAGUGAGCUAAGCUACCUUUCACCAUGCCAUUUAAACCAAAAAAAAAAAAAAAGACAAAAAGAAGUGGUAUGUGCACUUACGAUGUUACCAACCUAAAGUCACUAUCGGCUACGAUGGAACAGUUGUGAUCGAGAUCUUCGCUGUCGUCCCCGGAAGUAUGUCCGCUCUGGUUGUCGUGCCGAUGAAUGACCACCACCUCCUCGUCCUCGGAAUCGGCGGCGACUCCAUCGCAAGAUCUCUCGACCUCCGCGUCGCUAUCCUGCGACGAGGUCGGCGAAUCGUCUAUCAUCACAUCGUGAACGAGCCUAUUUUCAACAAGAAUUUAAUUCGCAGAAAUUAAUCGGUUGAAACUCUCAAGGCAUACAACGAGCGAAACACGAAGGAAUUUUAAACGAAGGGCCUACGCACGUUUGGAAAUUUUAUUUCUGUACGUACCAGAGAAUCGACAAUUUUACACACUCAUCUGCAUAAAUAUAAAAUUCAUUCAGAUCGAUCGAUUGUCACUAGAAUUAGAAUGUUUUGCAAAGUAAAUUGCAUUUCCUCUCCUGGAAUUGAAAGGUACACUUCCGUUUCCACGGGAUAAAUAAGAUCUCGCACGUAAAUGUCAGAAUCAAUUGAGAUUUUCCCAACAAGAUCAACGUGUCGUGCUUCGAUACGUCUUCUGUUAAGGUAUUAUCCAUUCAAAAGACAAGUGAAACAAAGUUGACACGGUAGAACUUUCGAGGAAUGUCUGACGGCUAAGGAACACUUGGAUACUAAUCGACCAACAGGUAAACGUUAAUCUUAC